rnacentral:rRNA from 1 species
CCUACGGGAGGCAGCAGUGGGGAAUCUUGCGCAAUGGGCGAAAGCCUGACGCAGCCAUGCCGCGUGAAUGAUGAAGGUCUUAGGAUUGUAAAAUUCUUUCACCGGGGACGAUAAUGACGGUACCCGGAGAAGAAGCCCCGGCUAACUUCGUGCCAGCAGCCGCGGUAAUACGAAGGGGGCUAGCGUUGCUCGGAAUUACUGGGCGUAAAGGGAGCGUAGGCGGAUAGUUUAGUCAGAGGUGAAAGCCCAGGGCUCAACCUUGGAAUUGCCUUUGAUACUGGCUAUCUUGAGUACGGAAGAGGUAUGUGGAACUCCGAGUGUAGAGGUGAAAUUCGUAGAUAUUCGGAAGAACACCAGUGGCGAAGGCGACAUACUGGUCCGUUACUGACGCUGAGGCUCGAAAGCGUGGGGAGCAAACAGGAUUAGAUACCCUGGUAGUCCACGCUGUAAACGAUGAGUGNUAGUGUCGUCGAUGCAUGCAUGUCGGUGUACGCG